rnacentral:rRNA from 1 species
AUGGGGUCAACAUCAGUUUUGAUCGCUGGAAAAGGGCAGGAGGAAUGUAGCACUCUCGGGUGAACUUAUAGCCUUCUGUCGCAUACAGUGGUUGGGACUGAGGAACGCAGCUUGCCUUUAUGGCCGGGAUUUAUCCACGUACAAGCUUAGGAUGUUGACAUAAUGGCUUUAAACGA